rnacentral:lncRNA from 1 species
GGUUGUGGAUUUGCAUUGGGUUGAGGGUUUUCUUUGGGUUGUAGUUUGGCUUUGGGUUUUGGAAGUGGACGCUUAGAAGCAAUUUCUGGAAGUGUGUCAAGUUUGUUCCUAAGAUGGUUUGGCUUUUCUACCCAAACAACUUUCUUGGGUGCUUUGGGUGGUAUCUUGAUGAAAACUCCAUCUCUAACAUACUCAGACAGGUUUUGCUCACAAUCUGGAUUGGGUUGCUCUUUGUUUUGUAUGGGUGACUCUUGAGGGGUGUAGUCAGCUGGUGGCUCACACUGGUUGUAGCUUGGUUUAUUUCUCUCACCACUAGUUUGACUCACCUUCUCAC